AGUAGGGGUUUGGAUAGAGUGUGGGCAUGGAACCAUGGUUUUUUACCUCCAUCUUGAUUGGAGGUGUUGAGUUCAAAAAAUCAAAAAGUCUCCCUAAUUUGGGUAAUUUAAGUUUGUGGGAACAGAUGAAGCAACAACUUGCGUCGGUCUGGUUAUAUGUAACCGGAAUACUAAAAUGUUCAUCUGAUCAGUAGCUUUGAGGACAAACCCAUCCAAGCCUGACUUGCCAUCAUUUGUAUUUGUCCUUUCUUUUUUCUCCAGCAGUGAAAUACUUAAGCUCCAGCUUCCAUGGCUGCUUGAUUAUAAUUGCAGCUGAUCAAUGGUAGCAAUCAAUCAGGAGGAAGGCAUAUCAUUCCAAGCGGUUAUUCAUUACCUCCGGCCCUCAUUACAUAUCAUAUGAGAUUGUUUAUUAUUCAUUCCCGGUCUUAAGGUUUUUGAUGAUGAUGGGUCAUCAUUUUUCAAGCUAUAUUUCUUCAAUUAUGUGGUUAAAAGUUUUACAUGUUAAUGCAUUUGAAAGGUUGAGACUUCUUCUGGAUCAGUAAUGCCUGCCUGCUUUGACAAAACUUCGAGAUGUCCAGAUGAAACUGUUCGGAGGAUUCGGAUGACUGUCUCUUUUGAAGAUCGCUACUGGGAUGGGAAGUUACUGGAGACUUAUGACACGCUUUGUGAUAGAAUUGUGGUUGCACCUUGCACUUGGUAAGUUACUUCUCACAUUGAUAUUGUUUUUGAUACUUAAAGGGAACUGAGUAUUGUCAAACAAAUUACUCGUAUAUUACAUUUAUCUGAAGUAAAUUCUAAAACUUUGAGGUCAAUCCUAAUCAAUUCUUUGUUACAGUAUCCUCAUAUAAUAUUUUUUUCAUUUUCGUGGCCAUGAGUUCCCAAAUGCUCAAGCUUUUGGAGGACACAUGAGCUCUCAUAGCAAGACGAAGAAAAGCUUACCGAAGAAGGCGAAUAGAGCUCGAAAAGGAUCUUUCAAUUUUUGCUCUGGAAACGAAAGGAGGUUGAGGACUGCAAGUGGAAUGAUGAAGGACUCGUGGAAGGAGAGUUUAGAGAGUGAGGAAUCUAUGAAUUGUGAAAUUGUAGAGGAGGCUGGUGAAGAGUGAUAUUGUUUCAUGACUUUUAACUGGUCACAAUGGCGAAAAAGGAUUCAUGUAGCC